rnacentral:rRNA from 1 species
UACGGAGGGUGCGAGCGUUGUCCGGAAUCAUUGGGCGUAAAGGGCGCGUAGGCGGCCGUCCCAAGCGUGCGGUGAAAGUCAGGGGCUCAACCCCUGAUCGGCCGUGCGAACUGGGGGCUCGAGCACUGUAGAGGCAGGCGGAAUUCCGGGUGUAGCGGUGGAAUGCGUAGAGAUCCGGAAGAACACCGGUGGCGAAGGCGGCCUGCUGGGCAGUGGC